CACUUUCGCUACGGCCGAGAGAUGUGAGGAUGGCCCCUUGCUUAUAGACAUUCUUUACCGCUAGGACUACCGGGGUAAUUAAUCCCGGUCGCUCCCCUAACUUUCCUGCCUCCACGGCCAAAGGCUGCCCAAUAGCCGCUUUCGCCACCGGUGUUCCUGAUAAUAUCAACGCCUUUCAACGCUUCAACCUGGAGUUGCUCUCCUCUGAUCCCCUUCAGACUCGUGGUUUCCAGGUGAAUUCCACGGGUGAGCCGUGGGCUUUUCAUCUGACCUACCAACCCGCCUACACACCCUUUUUAUGCAGUGUUUCCGAAAACGUUUUGCACCCCGU
rnacentral:rRNA from 1 species